GCGGGUGUAACUUAAUUGGUAAAGUGUCUGCCUUCCAAGCAGAAGAUUAAGAGUUCAAGUCUCUUCAUCCGCA
rnacentral:tRNA from 1 species